AGGACUAACGCUGGCGGCGUGCCUAACACAUGCAAGUCGAACGGGGUAGCAAUACCCAGUGGCAGACGGGUGAGUAACACGUGGUCAACCUACCUCUAUAUGGGGGAUAACUAGCCGAAAGGUUAGCUAAUACCACAUACGAUCGCUUUGGGGCAUCCCUAGGCGAUGAAAGGAGCAAUCCGCAUAGAGAGGGGACUGCGUCCCAUUAGUUAGUUGGUGGGGUAACGGCCUACCAAGACUCCGAUGGGUAGCUGGCUUGAGAGAGCGACCAGCCACACUGGAACUGAGACACGGUCCAGACUCCUAUGGAAGGCAGCAGUGAGGAAUUUUCCGCAAUGGGCGAAAGCCUGACGGAGCGACGCCGCGUGUGGGAAGAAGGCCUUCGGGUCGUAAACCACUGUCGAAGGGGACGAUAAUGACGGUACCCUUGGAGGAAGCCCCGGCUAACUACGCGCCAGCAGCCGC
rnacentral:rRNA from 1 species